CAGCACCUCAAGUGGUCAGGAUGAUUAUUGGGCCUAAAGCAUCCGUAGCCUGCUUUGUUAGUUUUCGGUUAAAUCCAUACGCUCAACGUACGGGCUGCCGGGAAUACUGCAAAGCUAGGGAGUGGGAGAGGUAGACGGUACUCGGUAGGAAGGGGUAAAAUCCUUUGAUCUAUUGAUGACCACCUGUGGCGAAGGCGGUCUACCAGAACACGUCCGACGGUGAGGGAUGAAAGCUGGGGGAGCAAACCGGAUUAGAUACCCGAGUAGUCC
rnacentral:rRNA from 1 species